CGAGUUCCGUGUGCAUGUUUUGCAGGCGCGUGUGCAUUUCGCCCUGCCUCUUGCUUUCUGAUGCAACAUUGAACUGUGUCUCCUGGGCUACUAGGGGACCUUGUUAUGUUUUUUUUUUUUUUUCUUCCUGUCCUCGCAGGAAACGAGAACCAAUUGCUGUGCUGUUGCCAUCGGAGCGGGGAGGUUUGUUUUCCCUCCACUUUCAUCCCUGGUACCUCCCCAUCGACAGUUACCGUAGAAACAAGAGCAACUCCGACUCUAUUUCCAUCCACGUCUCCUUCCUGCAAUGAUUUAUCGUUGCUUUCUUUUUUUAAUCCACCGCACAGCACCUACCUACCAACACUCUAGCAGCCAAUAAAAUAUUCAGAAAAUUGUGUGACAUCUCUCCAAAGGAGCUGUAUAUAAGCAGAAGAUGAAGAACUGCAGAAGCACAUGCUGAGAUACUUCUCUCGCAGUGCCACUUGAACUUUUCAGCUCUCCAAGCUUUAAGACGUGUCAAGAUCGCAAGGUUAACUUUUUGUGUUUCUCCCAAAAGCUCGGUCUACCCCACCCUGAAAACAAGCUCCGACAUAUCUUUCUCCAGCAUCUUGUCUCCCCCGUCCCCCUUGAACUCUUUGUUACCAGCACAUUCGGCUACCCAAAAUCCCAUUAUUGCUACUCGAGUGCACGCUGACUUCCGUGGAAUUAAACUGGAGAGCAGCAAGGGGUGUUUUGCAAUCUUAACAAUAUGGCACAGAGAUUUAGAGAGAUCCACCACCACGCUGACUCUGAGCCACGCCAAAUAAAGGGAUCGCUACUUCCUUCAUUCGCACUGAAUAUGAAGACAUUGAGGAUACAGAAGAUACAAGGAUUGGUUGUAAAAGAAAAGAAAGAAAGCCUGAUGUUGUAGUAUUAAACAGUGGUCACACCAAACUCUAAUAUUUAUAAAAUCCUGGUUCGGAGCUGCACAAACAGCUUGCCUGUGCAGUGAAAGAUCAUUACACAAUAUCUCUAUAUAUUCCAAUAAAAAGCAGUUUAAACAAUCAGUUUUUUUCUA